AGAAUCAACGCUGGCGGCGUGCCUAACACAUGCAAGUCGAACGCGAAAGUCCCGCAAGGGAUGAGUAGAGUGGCAAACGGGUGAGUAACACGUGGGUGACCUGCCUUCGAGCGGGGGAUAACGUCCCGAAAGGGACGCUAAUACCGCAUAACGUGCCGCUUUUUAACAGGUGGACAUCAAAGCUGGGGAUCGCAAGACCUAGCACUUGAAGAGGGGCCCGCGCCUGAUUAGCUAGUUGGUGGGGUAAUGGCUCACCAAGGCAACGAUCAGUA
rnacentral:rRNA from 1 species